AUUGAACGCUGGCGGCAUGCCUUACACAUGCAAGUCGAACGGUAACAGGUCUUCGGAUGCUGACGAGUGGCGAACGGGUGAGUAAUACAUCGGAACGUGCCCGAUCGUGGGGGAUAACGGAGCGAAAGCUUUGCUAAUACCGCAUACGAUCUACGGAUGAAAGCAGGGGACCGCAAGGCCUUGCGCGGACGGAGCGGCCGAUGGCAGAUUAGGUAGUUGGUGGGAUAGAAGCUUACCAAGCCGACGAUCUGUAGCUGGUCUGAGAGGACGACCAGCCACACUGGGACUGAGACACGGCCCAGACUCCUACGGGAGGCAGCAGUGGGGAAUUUUGGACAAUGGGCGAAAGCCUGAUCCAGCCAUGCCGCGUGCAGGAUGAAGGCCUUCGGGUUGUAAACUGCUUUUGUACGGAACGAAAAGACUCUUUCUAAUAAAGAGGGUCCAUGACGGUACCGUAAGAAUAAGCACCGGCUAACUACGUG
rnacentral:rRNA from 1 species